rnacentral:rRNA from 1 species
UAAGGAAUAUUGGUCAAUGGAGGCCACUCUGAACCAGCCAUGCCGCGUGCAGGAAGACGGCCCUCUGGGUUGUAAACUGCUUUUAUUCGGGAAUAAACCUGCUUACGUGUAAGUAGCUGAAUGUACCGAAGGAAUAAGGAUCGGCUAACUCCGUGCCAGCAGCCGCGGUAAUACGGAGGAUCCAAGCGUUAUCCGGAUUUAUUGGGUUUAAAGGGUGCGUAGGCGGCUUAUUAAGUCAGGGGUGAAAGACGGUGGCUCAACCAUCGCAGUGCCCUUGAUACUGAUGAGCUUGAACGGACUAGAGGUAGGCGGAAUGUGACAAGUAGCGGUGAAAUGCAUAGAUAGGUCACAGAACACCGAUUGCGAAGGCAGCUUACUAUGGUUGAUUUGACUCUGAGGCACAAAAGGGCGGUGAUCAAACA